rnacentral:rRNA from 1 species
GACGAACGCUGGCGGCGUGCCUAAUACAUGCAAGUUGAGCGAUGAAGAUUGGUGCUUGCACCAAUUUGAAGAGCAGCGAACGGGUGAGUAACGCGUGGGGAAUCUGCCUUUGAGCGGGGGACAACAUUUGGAAACGAAUGCUAAUACCGCAUAAUAACUUUAAACAUAAGUUUUAAGUUUGAAAGAUGCAAUUGCAUCACUCAAAGAUGAUCCCGCGUUGUAUUAGCUAGUUGGUGAGGUAAAGGCUCACCAAGGCGAUGAUACAUAGCCGACCUGAGAGGGUGAUCGGCCACAUUGGGACUGAGACACGGCCCAAACUCCUACGGGAGGCAGCAGUAGGGAAUCUUCGGCAAUGGACGAAAGUCUGACCGAGCAACGCCGCGUGAGUGAAGAAGGUUUUCGGAUCGUAAAACUCUGUUGGUAGGGAAGAACGUUGGUGAGAGUGGAAAGCUCAUCAAGUGACGGUAACUACCCAGAAAGGGACGGCUAACUACGUG